UACGUAGGGUCCGAGCGUUGUCCGGAAUUAUUGGGCGUAAAGGGCUCGUAGGCGGUCUGUUGCGUCGGGAGUGAAAACUUACAGCUUAACUGUGGGCGUGCGGUCGAUACGGGCAUCACUGGAGUUCGGCAGGGGAGACUGGAAUUCCUGGUGUAGCGGUGAAAUGCGUAGAGAUCGGGAAGAACAUCAGUGGCGAAGGCGGCCUGCUGGGCUGUUGCUGACGCUGAGGCGCGACAGCGUGGGGAGCAAACAGG
rnacentral:rRNA from 1 species